UGGGGAAUAUUGGACAAUGGGCGCAAGCCUGAUCCAGCCAUGCCGCGUGGGGGAUGAAGGCCUUCGGGUCGUAAACCCCUUUUCUGAGAGAAGAACAUCCCGGGAAGGAAAUGUCUCGGGCUUGACGGUAUCUCAGGAAUAAGCAACGGCUAACUCCGUGCCAGCAGCCGCGGUAAUACGGAGGUUGCAAGCGUUGUUCGGAAUUACUGGGCGUAAAGGGAGCGCAGGCGGUUGGGUAAGUCUGAAGUGGAAGCCCGGGGCUCAACCCCGGAAGUGCUUUGGAUACUGCCCGACUUGAGUACGCGAGAGGAAAGCGGAAUUCCAGGUGUAGCGGUGAAAUGCGUAGAUAUCUGGAGGAACACCGGUGGCGAAAGCGGCUUUCUGGCGCGUUACUGACGCUGAGGCUCGAAAGCGUGGGGAGCAAACGGG
rnacentral:rRNA from 1 species